AUGCCCGGGAGGAACAUGCUGCCCAGAAACAAAAGUUUUGUUUUCGUAGAAAAAAACUUGUUGGUAAGCAUGACUGAAAUUACUACCUUGGGUGCGGUAUGGGUUGUCCUCAUCCUGGUCUGCCAACAUGAUCAGCUUUGGCGGCAGCUGGCGAUGUGGUUGCGAGGCUUGGGCGCCAUGGCGAGGACGUCGUCCAGGAUGCCACAUGAGCCUGUCAAGCUCAAGGAUAGGGGGCUUCGGCAGUGGCAAAAGGAUGCACAUAUGGAUGUUCCCUUACCAGGCGUCGUUGUCGACCUGCUAGUCAACAUUCAUCUCUUACUCUGGUUGUGCUAUUAUGCGGGCAUGUGGUGCUUAGUUUUAAUUUCCCUGUCGUUCUUAGACCAUGACUGA
rnacentral:rRNA from 1 species